GGGUUGUGAGGUUAAGCGACUAAGCGUACACGGUGGAUGCCCUGGCAGUCAGAGGCGAUGAAGGACGUGCUAAUCUGCGAAAAGCGUCGGUAAGGUGAUAUUGCACAGGYUGUGAACUCGAAGAGUAGGGCGGGACACGUGGUAUCCUGUCUGAAUAUGGGGGGACCAUCCUCCAAGGCUAAAUACUCCUGACUGACCGAUAGUGAACCAGUACCGUGAGGGAAAGGCGAAAAGAACCCCGGCGAGGGGAGUGAAAAAGAACCUGAAACCGUGUACGUACAAGCAGUGGGAGCACCUUCGGGUGUGACUGCGUACCUUUUGUAUAAUGGGUCAGCGACUUAUAUUCUGUAGCAAGGUUAACCGUAUAGGGGAGCCGCAGGGAAACCGAGUCUUAACUGGGCGUUAAGUUGCAGGGUAUAGACCCGAAACCCGGUGAUCUAGCCAUGGGCAGGUUGAAGGUUGGGUAACACUAACUGGAGGACCGAACCGACUAAUGUUGAAAAAUUAGCGGAUGACUUGUGGCUGGGGGUGAAAGGCCAAUCAAACCGGGAGAUAGCUGGUUCUCCCCGAAAGCUAUUUAGGUAGCGCCUCGUGAAYUCAUCUUCGGGGGUAGAGCACUGUUUCGGCUAGGGGGUCAUCCCGACUUACCAACCCGAUGCAAACUACGAAUACCGAAGAAUGUUAUCACGGGAGACACACGGCGGGUGCUAACGUCCGUCGUGAAGAGGGAAACAACCCAGACCGCCAGCUAAGGUCCCAAAGUCAUGGUUAAGUGGGAAACGAUGUGGGAAGGCACAGACAGCCAGGAUGUUGGCUUAGAAGCAGCCAUCAUUUAAAGAAAGCGUAAUAGCUCACUGGUCGAGUCGGCCUGCGCGGAAGAUGUAACGGGGCUAAACCAUGCACCGAAGCUGCGGCAGCGACACUAUGUGUUGUUGGGUAGGGGAGCGUUCUGUAAGCCUGCGAAGGUGWSCUGUGAGGSWUGCUGGAGGUAUCAGAAGUGCGAAUGCUGACAUAAGUAACGAUAAAGCGGGUGAAAAGCCCGCUCGCCGGAAGACCAAGGGUUCCUGUCCAACGUUAAUCGGGGCAGGGUGAGUCGACCCCUAAGGCGAGGCCGAAAGGCGUAGUCGAUGGGAAACAGGUUAAUAUUCCUGUACUUGGUGUUACUGCGAAGGGGGGACGGAGAAGGCUAUGUUAGCCGGGCGACGGUUGUCCCGGUUUAAGCAUGUAGGCUGGUUAUCCAGGCAAAUCCGGAUAAUCAAGGCUGAGGUGUGAUGACGAGGCACUACGGUGCUGAAGUAACAAAUGCCCUGCUUCCAGGAAAAGCCUCUAAGCAUCAGGUAACAUYAAAUCGUACCCCAAACCGACACAGGUGGUCAGGUAGAGAAUACCAAGGCGCUUGAGAGAACUCGGGUGAAGGAACUAGGCAAAAUGGUGCCGUAACUUCGGGAGAAGGCACGCUGGUGUGUAGGUGAAGUCCCUGCGGAUGGAGCUGAGACCAGUCGAAGAUACCAGCUGGCUGCAACUGUUUAUUAAAAACACAGCACUGUGCAAACACGAAAGUGGACGUAUACGGUGUGACGCCUGCCCGGUGCCGGAAGGUUAAUUGAUGGGGUUAUCCGUAAGGAGAAGCUCUUGAUCGAAGCCCCGGUAAACGGCGGCCGUAACUAUAACGGUCCUAAGGUAGCGAAAUUCCUUGUCGGGUAAGUUCCGACCUGCACGAAUGGCGUAAUGAUGGCCAGGCUGUCUCCACCCGAGACUCAGUGAAAUUGAACUCGCUGUGAAGAUGCAGUGUACCCGCGGCAAGACGGAAAGACCCCGUGAACCUUUACUAUAGCUUGACACUGAACAUUGAGCCUUGAUGUGUAGGAUAGGUGGGAGGCUUUGAAGCGUGGACGCCAGUCUGCGUGGAGCCAACCUUGAAAUACCACCCUUUAAUGUUUGAUGUUCUAACGUUGGCCCCUKACCGGGGUUGCGGACAGUGUCUGGUGGGUAGUUUGACUGGGGCGGUCUCCUCCCAAAGCGUAACGGAGGAGCACGAAGGUUAGCUAAUCCUGGUCGGACAUCAGGAGGUUAGUGCAAUGGCAUAAGCUAGCUUGACUGCGAGCGUGACGGCGCGAGCAGGUGCGAAAGCAGGUCAUAGUGAUCCGGUGGUUCUGAAUGGAAGGGCCAUCGCUCAACGGAUAAAAGGUACUCCGGGGAUAACAGGCUGAUACCGCCCAAGAGUUCAUAUCGACGGCGGUGUUUGGCACCUCGAUGUCGGCUCAUCACAUCCUGGGGCUGAAGUAGGUCCCAAGGGUAUGGCUGUUCGCCAUUUAAAGUGGUACGCGAGCUGGGUUUAGAACGUCGUGAGACAGUUCGGUCCCUAUCUGCCGUGGGCGCUGGAGAAUUGAGGGGGGCUGCUCCUAGUACGAGAGGACCGGAGUGGACGCAUCACUGGUGUUCGGGUUGUCAUGCCAAUGGCACUGCCCGGUAGCUAAAUGCGGAAGAGAUAAGUGCUGAAAGCAUCUAAGCACGAAACUUGCCCCGAGAUGAGUUCUCCCUGAGACUUUAAGUCUCCUGAAGGAACGUUA
rnacentral:rRNA from 1 species